GUAGGGUGCAAGCGUUAUCCGGAAAUCAUUGGGCGUAAAGAGCUCGUAGGCGGUUCAGCAAGUCGGCUGUGAAAUCCCGAGGGCUUAACCUCGGAACUGCAGUCGAUACUGCUGUGACUAGAGUCCGGUAGAGGAGAAUGGAAUUCCCGGUGUAGCGGUGAAAUGCGCAGAUAUCGGGAGGAACACCAGUAGCGAAGGCGGUUCUCUGGGCCGGUACUGACGCUGAGGAGCGAAAGCGUGGGUAGCAAACAGGAUUAGAUACCCUGGUAGUCCACGCCGUAAACGUUGGACACUAGGUGUGGCGUUCCGACCAACGGGUGCCGUGCCGAAGCUAACGCAUUAAGUGUCCCGCCUGGGGAGUACGGCCGCAAGGCUA
rnacentral:rRNA from 1 species